rnacentral:SRP_RNA from 1 species
ACAGUUGUUGCCAGCAACUGUAGUACCAGCUAACAAUGAGGUUGAGUGGGAGGAUAUGUUGAGGCCAAGAGUUCUAGGCUAUAGUGUGAGAUGUCAGUGGAGUGUCCAUAUAAGUUCAGCAUCAAUAUGGUGACCUCCCAGGACUGGGAAACCACCAGGUAUCCUAAGGAGCGGCCCAGGUCAAAAACGAAGCAGGUCAAAACUUGCAGACUGAUCAGUAGUGGGAUCCCACAUGUGAAUACCCACUGUACUUCCGCCUGGGCAACAGGAAAAGACUUCAUCUCU